rnacentral:lncRNA from 1 species
UAGUGGGAAUAUUUGAUCACACAAAGGUCUCAAAUAUAUACCUGCACUGAAUUCUUUAUAGGAAAGUAGAAAGAAUGUGCUUCUCCAAAAUGAGGGAGUAAACCAAAAAAAGACGUGGCAUCCAGUACACAAGAACCUCCAUCAUGAGAGGAAGACAUGGGAUCCAGUAGACAAGACUAGACUUCUAUCAUGAGGGAAUGACAGGCGCUGGAACCUUUGUUAUUGAUACGGCCCAUCACCUAGCACAUUGCCUUAAGAAUAUUCAUAUAAAUGGAAUGGACUACUCUCUGAAGCAAAACUACAUCAUCUUCUACAGAAAAUUUUUGCAAAAUUACAUCCUUCAGCUCCAAAAGCAGGAAAAUAAAAUUAUCAAACUUUCAC